CCAGCUUGGCGUUGGUUGUCCAAGUUUAAGGUGGUAGGCUGAGAUCUUAGGCAAAUCCGGGAUCUCAAGGCCGAGAGCUGAUGACGAGUUGCCUUUAGGCGACGAAGUGGUUGAUGCCAUGCUUCCAAGAAAAGCUCCUAAGCUUCAGAUAACUGGGAACCGUACCCCAAACCGACACAGGUGGUUAGGUAGAGAAUACCAAGGCGCUUGAGAGAACUCGGGUGAAGGAACUAGGCAAAAUGGCACCGUAACUUCGGGAGAAGGUGCGCCGGCGAGGGUUAAGGACUUGCUCCGUAAGCCCAUGCCGGUCGAAGAUACCAGGCCGCUGCGACUGUUUAUUAAAAACACAGCACUCUGCAAACACGAAAGUGGACGUAUAGGGUGUGACGCCUGCCCGGUGCCGGAAGGUUAAUUGAUGGGGUUAGCUAACGCGAAGCUCUUGAUCGAAGCCCCGGUAAACGGCGGCCGUAACUAUAACGGUCCUAAGGUAGCGAAAUUCCUUGUCGGGUAAGUUCCGACCUGCACGAAUGGCGUAACGAUGGCGGCGCUGUCUCCACCCGAGACUCAGUGAAAUUGAAAUCGCUGUGAAGAUGCAGUGUAUCCGCGGCUAGACGGAAAGACCCCGUGAACCUUUACUAUAGCUUUGCACUGGACUUUGAAUUUGCUUGUGUAGGAUAGGUGGGAGGCUUUGAAGCGUGGACGCCAGUUCGCGUGGAGCCAUCCUUGAAAUACCACCCUGGCAACUUUGAGGUUCUAACUCAGGUCCGUUAUCCGGAUCGAGGACAGUGUAUGGUGGGUAGUUUGACUGGGGCGGUCUCCUCCUAAAGAGUAACGGAGGAGUACGAAGGUGCGCUCAGACCGGUCGGAAAUCGGUCGUAGAGUAUAAAGGCAAAAGCGCGCUUGACUGCGAGACAGACACGUCGAGCAGGUACGAAAGUAGGUCUUAGUGAUCCGGUGGUUCUGUAUGGAAGGGCCAUCGCUCAACGGAUAAAAGGUACUCCGGGGAUAACAGGCUGAUACCGCCCAAGAGUUCAUAUCGACGGCGGUGUUUGGCACCUCGAUGUCGGCUCAUCACAUCCUGGGGCUGAAGCCGGUCCCAAGGGUAUGGCUGUUCGCCAUUUAAAGUGGUACGCGAGCUGGGUUUAGAACGUCGUGAGACAGUUCGGUCCCUAUCUGCCGUGGACGUUUGAGAUUUGAGAGGGGCUGCUCCUAGUACGAGAGGACCGGAGUGGACGAACCUCUGGUGUUCCGGUUGUCACGCCAGUGGCAUUGCCGGGUAGCUAUGUUCGGGAAAGAUAACCGCUGAAAGCAUCUAAGCGGGAAACUUGCCUCAAGAUGAGAUCUCACUGGAACCUUGAGUUCCCUGAAGGGCCGUCGAAGACUACGACGUUGAUAGGUUGGGUGUGUAAGCGCUGUGAGGCGUUGAGCUAACCAAUACUAAUUGCCCGUGAGGCUUGACC
rnacentral:rRNA from 1 species